rnacentral:rRNA from 1 species
UACAGAGGUCUCAAGCGUUGUUCGGAUUCAUUGGGCGUAAAGGGUGCGUAGGCGGCGCGGUAAGUCGGGUGUGAAAUCUCGGGGCUUAACUCCGAAACUGCAUUCGAUACUGCCGUGCUUGAGGACUGGAGAGGAGACUGGAAUUUACGGUGUAGCGGUGAAAAUGCGCAGAUAUCAGGAGGAACACCGGUGGCGAAAGGCGGGGUCUCUGGGGCCGUAACUGACGCUGAGGAGCGAAAAGCGUGGGGGAGCGAACAGG